UGGUGGAGUGAUUUGUCUGGUUAAUUCCGUUAACGAACGAGACCUCAGCCUGCUAAAUAGCUGUACGAACCUCGGUUCGCUGCAGCUUCUUAGAGGGACUUUCGGUUUCUAGCCGAAGGAAGUUUGAGGCAAUAACA
rnacentral:rRNA from 1 species